GCCUCUGUAGCUCAGUGGAUAGAGCACCAGCCUCCGAAGCUGGUUGCGAGAGUUCGAGUCUCUCCAGGGGCAC
rnacentral:tRNA from 1 species